rnacentral:ncRNA from 1 species
UAAAGGCAUGGUCCCAGCCUUAUUGUCAGCUUUAGCCAAACUUACACAUGCAAGUUUCCGCAACCCAGUGAGUAUACCCUCAGCCCCCUGUCCGGAGGCGAGGAAUAGGUAUCAGGCACAAACAUUAGCCCAAGACAUCUAGCAUAGGCCACACCCCCAAGGGAAUUCAGCAGUGAUAGACAUUAAGCAAUAAGUGAAAACUUGACUUAGUUAAACGCUAAUUGGGCCGGUAAAACUCGUGCCAGCCACCGCGGUUAGACGAGAGGCCCCAGUUGACAUUACAACGGCGUAAAGAGUGGUUAGGGUCCCAAAAAUAAUAAAGCCAAAUGGCCCCUUGGCCGUUAUACGCUUCUAGGCGCCCGAAGUCCCAACACACGAAAGUAGCUUUAAUUACCAACCCGACCCCACGAAAGCUAAGAAACAAACUGGGAUUAGAUACCCCACUAUGCUUAGCCGUAAACCUAGACAUCCAGAUACAGCAAGAUGUCCGCCGGGGUACUACGAGCACCAGCUUAAAACCCAAAGGACCUGACGGUGCCUCAGAUCCCUCUAGAGGAGCCUGUUCUAGAAUCGAUAACCCCCGUUUAACCUCACCACUUCUAGCCCGCCUCAGUCUAUAUACCGCCGUCGUAAGCCUACCCUGUGAAGGUAUAAAAGUAGGCAAAAUGGGCACAACCCAGUACGUCAGGUCAAGGUGUAGCACAUGAAGUGGAAAGAAAUGGGCUGCAUUUUCUGCCACAGAACACUACGAAUCUAUACAUGAAACAGUAUUUAAAGGAGGAUUUAGCAGUAAAGAGGGAACAGAGUGCCCCCUUGAACCCGGCUCUGAGACACGUACACACCGCCCGUCACUCUCUCCGUUAAAGCGCACAAAAUAUCUAAUAAUUUAGCAUCACCAAGGAGAGGCAAGUCGUAACAUGGUAAGUGUACCGGAAGGUGCACUUGGAUCAAACC